rnacentral:rRNA from 1 species
AUACGUAGGGAGCGAGCGUUGUCCGGAAUUACUGGGUGUAAAGGGUGCGUAGGCGGGACUGCAAGUCAGAUGUGAAAUGCCGGGGCUCAACCCCGGAGCUGCAUUUGAAACUGUGGUUCUUGAGUGAGGUAGAGGUAAGCGGAAUUCCUAGUGUAGCGGUGAAAUGCGUAGAUAUUAGGAGGAACAUCGGUGGCGAAGGCGGCUUACUGGGUCUUUACUGACGCUGAGGCACGAAAGCGUGGGGAGCAAACAGGAUUAGAUACCCUGGUAGUCCACGCUGUAAACGAUGAUGACUAGGUGUGAGGGGACUGAACCCUUCCGUGCCGCAGUUAACACAAUAAGUCAUCCACCUGGGGAGUACGGCCGCAAGGUUGAAACUCAAAUGAAUUGGCGG